CUGGCUCCGCCGCGUGCUCUAUGGCCGUGACUUGCAGUUUUCCUCUCCGGGAAAAGUUCGUGGACACCUUGAAGCGUCUAGAUCCGGUCCCUCUAGCGGCGCUCCCGCGGCGCGAUGGCAGCAGUGCCCUGAGCCGGCUGACUCGAAUGCCGGCUCGGCAGCUCCUGGUGCGGGCAGCAUGUUGGCGGUGCUAGCACGGGCAGCCCGGAGAGCGACGGUCGUCGGGGACGGCAAUCUUCUCCGACACGGUCAACGCAGUCCACGCACCGGGUCAAUCCUGAGGCACCGGGCUGGACAAAAAGGUACUGUCUGAAGCAUAUCCCGAGCAGCUGCGACUAUUUUUCUGAAUGUUGAUCUGUUGUCCUGCACUGCUAUGUUAGUUGCACAUACGAUUGCAGAACAACCAAAAUGGAAAUGCUUGUUCAUGCGAUGUAGGAAAGGCUAGGCCAGUGGCUAAUUCGAGGUUUGUUUCAUCCAGUGUAGGCCAAUAUAGAUUGUUCUUGCCUGCAAAAUCAGGUUACAUCUAGGGAGUGCGCCGCUGGACAGAGCGUGUGUCCAUCUAGGAUGAGUACCUUAGAGCAGUCAAUUCACAAGUAUGCAGAGGAAUCAACGAAAAGUAUUCUUCAGUCUGAACAAGGACUUAGUUUGGACUCUCUUGAUGAGGCGUAUGACUUCUACAAUUUGUAUUAAUGGGAGAUUGGAUUCAGGAUAAGGUAUGACAAAAGCAGAUUGAACGCCGAGAGGACCAAAUCAAUGCAGGAGAUCGUUUGCGGCUGCUCGAUGCAUACAUAAAUCUGUUUAAGUAUUUGUACUCAGUGCAUAGAUAAAUCCAUUUAAGUAUUUGUGUGAAAAAUUAAAAAUAGUUGAAUUGUCCAUUUAAGUAUUUAUGUGAAAAAUUAAAAAUAGUUGAAUUGUCUUUGGCAGUAACACUGUUUCUUGGCUACGAAGAGAAGAGGUCAAUGAUUGGUGGUGUUGUGAUUGUGAGAACCAAUCUCUCAAUAGAGCAUCAUGCUAGCAAACGGAUCACAGUUCGAGUGUGAGGUCGGCAAUUGGAGCACAUGGGCAUGUUGAGUUGUCAUGUCCUAAGGGUGAUGGAUGUACUUUACCUUGAGGAGAUUCCUUGAAAAUACAUCGUGAAGGGGUGGACGAAGGGUGUGAGGGAUAUUCUGCCCGGACACCUCGUGCAGUACCAGAAAGACCAAUCGGUUAAUAAGUCUUUUACAUGCAGGCAUUCGACUCUUUACUUGAAAGCUAUGAACGUUGUUCGGAUGGGCGACGCGACCGUGGAAGCGUUCUAGCACAUGCCAGCUGGGCUGAAGGCAUUGUUGGUCAAUGGAGCGCCAUUCCUUGAGAUGAGGGAUGGUUUGCUUUGAGGACCGCCAGGGGAAUAUGCUAGCAGGACUGCUUGGUAAUGGAGAAGUUGCAUUCAUCGCAAAUGGGGUUGCAGACCAUGAAUGCAGUGCAGGCCUGUCUUUGAGUGUCAAUGCACUUGGAGGGUUAGCUUGGAGUCUCUAUGGAGAAGCAGAGAGGGGUCGGCAGGCCGAGGAACAGCCGGGAGAAAGCACUGUAUGAGGGACUGAGAUGAGGUUCGGCAGUAUAUGUUGCCGUGAACGUCACAAGAGAACGACUUUGCCCUGACCGGGAAAACCAGGGAGAUGCAAGAAUUGUGGAAUGGAAGGACACCGCCGGAACACGUGCACGCCCACUUGGUGGUCCACAGAAUCAAAUGUGGUAACUACUCCCUCUGUCUCAUAAUAUAAGAGCGUUUCUGACAUUAGUCUAGUGUCAAAAAUGUUCUUAUAUUAUGGGACGGAGGGAGUAGAUUUUAUUUUCUGUAUGUUGUAUUAUGAGGAUUUUCUGGUGUGUUUCAGUGAGCUUUGUUUCACGCUUGUUCCUCCAGUUCGGGAUGCGAGACUAAACUGUGAC